rnacentral:SRP_RNA from 1 species
ACUGGGAGCGUGGCGUCUCCUGUAACGUGGCUGCCCACGGGUCGGGUUACGGACUGAUUUGAGGUUGGGGUCCACUGUGUGCCGGGUAAGUCCAUGUUGACGGGACGUCCGCACUAAGCUGACCGUCAAUAUGGGUGCAAUGGGGGAGCCCGAUGCAUUCAGGUUGGCUAAAGAGAGAUGAACCGAGCGAGGGGUGAAAACCAGCAGCUAAAAGUCUCCGCGGUAAGCAGUAGUGGGAUCGCGUCCCGGAGUGGACUUCCGGUGCCAGCCUAACCAAUACAGUCACACCGUAACCUUU